rnacentral:rRNA from 1 species
UACGAAGGGGGCUAGCGUUGUUCGGAAUUACUGGGCGUAAAGCGCACGUAGGCGGACAUUUAAGUUGGAGGUGAAAGCCUUGGGCUCAACCCAAGAAUUGCCUUUGAUACUGGAUGUCUCGAGACCGGGAGAGGUGAGUGGAAUUCCGAGUGUAGAGGUGAAAUUCGUAGAUAUUCGGAAGAACACCAGUGGCGAAGGCGGCUCACUGGACUGGUAUUGACGCUGAGGUGCGAAAGCGUGGGGAGCAAACAGG